CUAUAAUACACACGUGAUUCACAUCUAAAGCUACACAAUCUAGUCACGAGAUUUAACUUUAAAUACCUAUGUCUAUAUAAAAACACUUGUUUUUGCGUUUGCGGAUAUCGGCUAAGUCUGUCAAUUUGAAGAAACAGAUGCUAUGGGAGAACUUGCUUUAACAGUUGACUACAAGAAGGCAGAUUCUUGUAAAUUUAUUCAAUCUGCUUCAGGGACAAAAUCAAGUGUCUGGCACAAAUCAUGAUGGAGAGUUUUCAAGGUCUAACAACCACAGGCAGUCUUACUACACCUACACUGACUAGCAUAGGCUACAUACAGCUGCCAAAAAUAUUCUUAGGGCCUACCAUGAAAGCACUGCAGACGAUGGUGAUUUUCUGUGAUGCUGAACUGAACAAAUAUAUGCAUAAUAAUACCAAGGUUGUAGACAUUCUAGAGGUCACAAUUUGUAUCGAAUUUUGAUGAAACUUACAAUCUAUAUAUAUAUGUUUGUAACACAAAGAUCUCGGUUCCUGGCGAUAUUGGUGCAUAUUGGACCGCAACUUGUUGGAUUAUGGCCCCUGAUUGUAGGCUACGAAAAAUCAGACUUUUAGCUUGUGGGUCCUCUAGAGGUCACUAUUUUUAUUGAUUGUAAAAACCGUUCAAAUAUACCACAGUUACACCAUUACGCACGGCUGAGUUCAAAUUCGAAGUUCAAAUGGCCGCUAACCUUUACGCAAAUAGUGUAAAAGCAUAUAAUACCCAGGGCUACCCUUUGGGCGACCUUCGGUUAUAAUUUUUUCAUGACUACGAACGCGGAUGGUCCGGACCAUCGUCUGUUAAAAGAAGGAUGCCCCCAUGGACAUGGUAAUGUCAUUUAAUUCUGCUUUAGACCUCGACGAUAACCCUAAAAAAAACCCACUUACUCUCAAGGAAGGUCUAUAAUCUCUCCACGGAGGAUAAUGAUUCGCUAUGCUAUAUAAUGUUAUAUAGUUUAAUAAACAAAUAAUACUUUCAUGAAAUUAAAAAUGCGCUACUCAAAUUAAUUUUUAGAGACGUCAAAUUCCUUGUCAUUUGACUUCACAUUUUGCAUAGCAUAAAUAAUGAAAUAAUGCGUAUUUUUUAGACUUACAUAUAUUCAGACAUAACCUACGAGACAAAAAAUAUCUGCUCAUCGAAGUCGCAACCAUCGAAGUCGCAAAAUAUCGGGAUUAGCCCUUUAAGCACAAGGAAGGUCUAUAUCUAUUCUCUCCAUGGAGGAUAAUGAAUCGGUGUGUUAUAUAGUUUGAUAAACAAAUAAUACUUUCAUGAAGUUAAAUUUGCGCGACUCAAAUUAAUUUUAGAGACGACAAAAUUCCUUCUAAUUUGACUUUACUUUUUGCAUAGCGCAAGUAUUGAAAUUAUGCGUAUUCUUAGAUUCGGACAUAACAAACGGGACACAAAAUAUCUGAUCAUAGAGGUAGCAACCAUUUAAAAUUCAUUCAAAAUUUCCUAAAAUCAUAUACUUAAGAAAAAUAGAUUCUUUUGAAAUAUUCUACACUUUGGUUUCAUCGACACCGCCAUCUUGGAACUACUCCGACCAUGCCACAAUAGCAUGGUUCAGUAUUUUCGGACUAUGGUCCGGUCUAAAUGAAAUUCGGAUUCAGUUAGUUCGACCAUAGACAGGAAAUCACGAUAACCGAAGAUCGCCCUGGUAGUUCGACUAGAGUACGGAAAUCUGUGCAACCGAAGGUCGCCCUGUCGUGGCCCAUCUAGGCGACCUUCGGUUAUCGCGAUUUCUUGACUAUGAUCGAACUAACUGAAUC